GUGGGGAAUAUUGGACAAUGGGCGCAAGCCUGAUCCAGCCAUGCCGCGUGAGUGAUGAAGGCCUUAGGGUUGUAAAGCUCUUUCAGUAGGGAAGAUAAUGACGGUACCUACAGAAGAAGCCCCGGCUAACUUCGUGCCAGCAGCCGCGGUAAUACGAAGGGGGCUAGCGUUGUUCGGAUUUACUGGGCGUAAAGCGCACGUAGGCGGAUCGUUAAGUCGGGGGUGAAAUCCUGGAGCUCAACUCCAGAACUGCCUUCGAUACUGGCGAUCUUGAGUCCGGAAGAGGUGAGUGGAACUCCUAGUGUAGAGGUGGAAUUCGUAGAUAUUAGGAAGAACACCAGUGGCGAAGGCGGCUCACUGGUCCGGUACUGACGCUGAGGUGCGAAAGCGUGGGGAGCAAACAGGAUUAGAUACCCCUGUAGUCC
rnacentral:rRNA from 1 species